UUUGCCCAUCCCAGAAAUUUCUGACUUGUCGUGUCCUCCUCCCUUCAAAUUUCUGCUGAGCACUCCUCCCUUUAGAAGUCUUCAACAAUGCGAUCUCCUCCUUCCUUCAAGUCUCCAGAUCUAUAGGACCAUGUGUUAUUUACUUAUGGGUUAGCUCCUCCCUUCAGAAGUCUCCAGAUUUAUAAACUCUUACGGGUUAGCUACCUACUCAGAGAUUGAAUUCUAUCAUCACCAAAAAAGUUAGCUGAAGAAAGUGUGCAAAAAAAGAAAAAAAAGAACCCUUAUCUUCCAUUCAGUGGUAUUGCAAAUUGUGUUGAAGGUGCAUGCAUUCGGUGGUAUUGCCACUUGUGCAAAGUGAGUCAUAAUCUUCCAUUCACAGUGGGCUGGAAUAUAAGUAUGUUGUGAUUGAUAUUAUUUAUCAUUUAUUUGUUAUUUUUGUUUGGUUUGUGAUUUUCAUUUUGUAUGCUUUGUGCUGAGAAUAUUUUUGUUUGGUUUCCUCUAAAAAUAUGAUCACUAGUUUGGUUUCCUUUGAGAUUUUCUUGCUUGUUCUUGUAAACAAUCCUAGAAGGCAGAGAAUUAUUUGCAAAAACUCAAGCACGAUGUUUGAAUUUAAUUGCAGCUCAUCCCUAAGGAUAUCAAAAGAGUUCCACUCAAUUGGGGGGGAGGUGGGAUAAAAUAUGAUUCCUUUUUAUUUUCUUUAAUUUGGAAAACCUUUUCAAGUCCAUUCUUCUUAAUGGUAUGAUUGAAAAUAAAAAAAAUAAAACUACAAAAAAUCAAUACCUUUUAUCUUCACUUUUUGUUGAGAAUAUUCAGUGCAUAAAAUUAGAAUAACAAUAUUGGUACUACUGCUACUUAUGCUUAACUGAUAUCCAAGCUAGCUAGCAUAAAGAACAAGUUAGUGAUCAUAUUUGUUUUCUCUGUAUGACAACUUAUAUUCUAUGCAUCUUUCACAUGUCCAAAAUCUACAACUCCAAGAGUGAACAUCAACCCUUUAAAUCAUUUUGUCACCUCCUUUAUGGCUUGCCUCAAUGCUUGCAUAAUUCCUCUGUUCUUGAAAGUAAAGCUCUGUUACAUAUAUAUAUAGAUAUAUAUAUUGCAUGUGGUCCUCAUUUGGCAAUACUAGUAUUGUUUCUUUUCUGUACAAUAUUGCCUUCUCCAAUCUUGUCGCAUUAGCAUUUCAUGACUGCCAAAAUUAGAUGAUAUAAUGAGUCUGGUCAUUAGAUUACAAUAUCCUCUGAAAGAGAGAGAUCCUUUUGGUUGCUAGCAAUAGUAGGUUAUUUUACCCAUGAAAAGAAAUGUCUAGCUUGUCAUGCUAAUGGGGAAGAAAUUUAAGCUACUCAUUGCAUUUUAAAUGAGUUUAAUCCAAUAAAUCUUGCAGCAAUUAAUGGGAGAUUAGUAGUACUUUUGAAUUGCUUUAGUAAGCAGACGGGUGAUCUGGUGAUCAAAUAUAAUGUGGCCAUCACUAUCAUGCAAUUAUACUAAAUAACAAUUUCAAGUAAUUCAAAGAUGAAGACAAGUUUGGUAGCUAUUCAUUUUGGGAAGCCAUGGUGACCACAUGAUUAAUCUCAUAUUUGAUUGUAGAGUUUCCUAUGCAUUACUUAAAUUCUCACUUGUCUUGCUCGCUGCAUUUCUUUUAUACUUUAUGUCUUUCUAGUUUUAGAAUUUCUUCAAUAGCUUUAGUACUGAUUUUUUUAACAUGGUGGGUCCCUUUCUCUAAUGUUAACGUUUAGACUCUAAUACCUUUUGGUAUUUCUAAUAGUGGGUUCCAUUUUGGUUACGGAUCCAAUAGCUAGUUCCAUUUCUUUGGUUUGUUUGAAUAAAUGUGGGUUUCCCUUUUUCAAUUAUGUUUGAUUUAUUUUCUAUUACGAUUAUGUAAAGAUAAAACCUUUCCUAUAUGAAAUCUGUAAACUUACUUCCUUC